GGUACUCCCCCUUUCCUUUCUCUCCUCCCCCAGGAAGAGAAGAGGAUAGUAUUUCAACAUGACUUUUGCAAUGAACAAGCCAUAUUCAAAUCAUGGCAAUUUACCUUACUAGUCUUCUAAAAUUCUCCCCAUCCUGCUAUGGAGUCAGAAGGCUGUUGCCUGUGCCUGUAUCUACUUUUUUGACUUUGAAAAAGCCACUCAAAAUAAGACACUGCCGACAUUUAAGAAGAUACUGGGAAUAAUCAUCAUGUGUCCCUCUCCAGGAGAAUCUUACCAGCUUCUGGAAUGGUUGGUCCACUGGCAUCUUCGGCAAUGAUCUUGGCCUGUGCUUAUAUCUUGAAAUGCUCCCCCUACUUUUUGUUAUGGUUUGGAUGUGAGGUGUCCCCCAGAAAAGCUCAUGCAUGAGACAAUGUAGGAAGGUUCAGAGGAGAAAUGAUUGUAUUGUAAAAUCUUAACCUAGUCAGUGAAAUAAUCCUUGAUGGAAUUAACUGAAGUGGUAGGAUGUGG